GAUGGACCCGCGCCGUAUUAGCUAGUUGGUAAGGUAACGGCUUACCAAGGCGACGAUACGUAGCCGACCUGAGAGGGUGAUCGGCCACACUGGAACUGAGACACGGUCCAGACUCCUACGGGAGGCAGCAGUAGGGAAUCUUCCGCAAUGGGCGAAAGCCUGACGGAGCAACGCCGCGUGAGUGAUGAAGGGUUUCGGCUCGUAAAACUCUGUUAUUAGGGAAGAACAAAUGUGUAAGUAACUGUGCACAUCUUGACGGUACCUAAUCAGAAAGCCACGGCUAACUACGUGCCAGCAGCCGCGGUAAUACGUAGGUGGCAAGCGUUAUCCGGAAUUAUUGGGCGUAAAGCGCGCGUAGGCGGUUUCUUAAGUCUGAUGUGAAAGCCCACGGCUCAACCGUGGAGGGUCAUUGGAAACUGGGAAACUUGAGUGCAGAAGAGGAAAGUGGAAUUCCAUGUGUAGCGGUGAAAUGCGCAGAGAUAUGGAGGAACACCAGUGGCGAAGGCGACUUUCUGGUCUGUAACUGACGCUGAUGUGCGAAAGCGUGGGGACCAAACAGGAUUAGAUACCCUGGUAGUCCACGCC
rnacentral:rRNA from 1 species